GUAAUAAAUUCAUCUUAAAUGAAGAGUAAUUAAGGCUGGUCUGAUAACAUCUUGUCGGUUGGUAUUUUUAUUAUAGUAGUGGUUUAUUUUAUAAUAAUUAGCAAGAAUUGAAGUCAAAAAGUUAUAAUUGCAAGAGAAAAUGUACUCAACGUCUAAACAUUUCACGCUCGGACACCACAACAAACACUCGUUCGGAUUUCCGCGGACGCGCCGCUAAAACAUUGUACCAUGUAAACCUAUAUUUCAUCAACUUUUGAAGCAUUAAGAAAAAUACUUAUUUUUUGCCUUUUUUGAUAAAAAAAAAUUGUGUUGAAAAUAUGAACGUUUGCGGGUUUUAGGUUCCAUAAAAAUGUGGAGCAAAGAAGAACGAAAGUAAUAAAAAAAAAUGGAACAAAAACAUGUCAUUUCUGCCAGGACAAUCCUUUAUCAAUUUAGUAAAAUUACAUAAAUAAGUAAGUUUAUUAACCUACAAAUAUUUAUUUCACAUGGUAUUUCAGCAACUGGUGCCCUGUGUUUGACUGUAAAUAUGAAUAUUGAGACAUUUAUAUACUGAAUAUUGAACAUUUUUUGUGCGUGCAGAUGUAUGAAAAGACAAGUAUUUUAUAUUUGGAUUUUUUCUAUACUUUAAAGUAUUUAAGUAACAACAGAUAUCCCAUAUAAGGUAAGUAAUCAUCAAAUAUUUUGUGAUUUGAUAAGAUAUCUAUGAAAUAUUGUAAGUUUAGCUUUUCUAUAAAAGGAGAAUUGAUUAAGUAAUGAGCAAAUAUUCACAUAAAAGGUAAAACAUGCGCAAAUAUUUCCAUAUAAGGUAAGACAUGAGCAAAUAUUUCCAUAUAUGGUAAGGCAUAAGCAAACAUUUCCAUAUAAGGUAAGGCAUGAGCAAAUAUUCCCAUAUAUGGUAAGGCAUGAGCAAAUAUUCCCAUAUAAGGUAAGGCAUUAACAAAUAUUUCCAUAUAAAGUAAUGCAUGAGCAAAUAUUUCCAUAUAAGGUAAGGCAUUAACAAAUAUUUCCAUAUAAGGUAAGGCAUGAUAUCAGAUUUUGUUCUUUGCACUGUAUUUCUUGAAUUUUCUUUGUACCGCAUUGCAUUUUGAUUAAGGUAUUGGCAACAAAUAGAGUUUUUUUCUACAGUUCUUGGGUAAGUAGAUAAUUAUCUCUUAUCAUAUUCUUGCACCGUCAGAACAUUCUACUGUUUGCUUUGUGUCGUGUUUCAGUGUUUUAUUUAACUUAGCAAGUUCCAUAUUUCCUGAUACUGGUUGGGUCAACGUCCAAGAAUCGCCAGGCCCUACUUGAUGGGAGUGCUCUUCUAUUCUCUCAUCAUUUGGACCGAUUAUGAGUUUUAAAGCUCAUUGGAUUACUGGUGUGAAGGUCAACUCAUUACAAGGAGGGUCUCAAAGAAGUGUGUUGAAUCAGUUUGUUGCGUCCAAACUGCACUGAAGAUGAUCUCGGGUUUCAAGGUUUGUUGGGAUUCCAGAAAAUUGCCCUAGAAAGCUUCACACACCUGAAUUUCGGGUUUGAUGACCUCUUGUCAUGUUAGUGAAAGGAAGGAGGUCCAUGAAAUUGGCGAAGGGUAGAAAAGCCUUUGCUGUGUCGACCAGCCACUCUUUCUUGUACUGUCAACUUGAAGCCUACAAUACAACCUCCCAGGGACAGAGAUUUAAUCCACAGCAGGUGAAAAUAGAACGGCUGGAAAUGUAAAGAUGGCCCUACAGUUAACAAUGUUUUAUCUAAAUAUUGUCAAUUGUGCCUUAUUGGUCUUCCUUCUUCUUGAUACUUCUGUGAGUUCCAUGGACUAUACCUCAGUUGCUACGACGUACACCCAGGAUACACCAGAAAGCACCAUGUUUCCAGAAUCAUCAAAUUUGACCCAACCAACAGUUGUGGCGUCAACCGACGAAACAGAAAACAUCUCUGAAAC